UUUUUCAACAUGGAACUGUCUUUUGUAGACAAUAAAUAAUAAUAAAAAAUGUCUACAAAAACUGAUUAAUGACUCAAGUGUAACGUGUAAGCAUUAUUAUUUUCAUGUUGACCGACACAGUCGUGAGGGUCUAGAAAUAUUGGGGUGAAUUCAAAGUUAUUAAGACACUUUUUGCCAUUGAAAUGAUUUGGAAAAAGUACCUAAACCUAAAUGCACCAUACUUUAUGAUGUAUUUAAGUAAUCGUCUGUAUUAAAUUGAUUUUUAAAUGUUCUUUUUUUCUAUAAAUGAAACAAAUAGAGCCCCACUGACCCAAAAACAACAAAAAUAAGUCCAUUAUGUAGGCUACGGAAAGACUCGUCGCAUUUUUUAAAAAAAUAAACGGACAAGCAGAACUAUACAAUUGCAAUUACAGCAAAUAAAUGUCCAUUUGGUUUAAUUCUUCCUGGGAUUCGAUGGUUUCUGUCCAUUUGCAUGAAUUAUUGUGCAAAACAAACAAACGCGCGCAUUCUGUUCAGAUUGAAUCGUCGUCACACAUCGAUACUGAACAAAUUGCUGACGCUAAAAAAGGAAUAAUAUGAAUUCACCCAUACUAAUGUGACCUGAAGAAAGUUUGUACAGCAUGUUCGUCCACUACGGAUGGACACUGACUUGUCACCUUGUAAGGUGUUGCCUUAUUGCUGAAGGUCCAGACUGACCGUGGGGCCCCUGGGGGCCCUCACCCUUCACCUUUCCCAUCUCUCAGGUGCCAGGCCCCUGUAUGUAAGGUGAGGAUGCCCUGGGGCAGGGAUUGGCCAGCAUGCCUCUCUGUGGGGGUCUCCACGGGUGCUGAUGUUCUUCUAGUCCCCCUGCUAUGAGGAAAGACCAUAAUCAGAGGAAGAGGAAAUAUCACUUUCUACUGACAUCUGACCCUUGCACGGAAAUGCCGGGAAAAAACAAGAUGUAAGUGUACACCAGUGGCCCCUAUAGAGCUCUGAGGGCCCGUGAGGGGCAGGAAUGUCUCUGUAUCCCUCCAUCCCUCCAGCUGCUCAGGUUACAGCAUUCAUAGAUCACGCUGACACUGCAGGAUGGCUGCCGUGGCCCAGUCCUGCCCGGAGAGGAGGCCGCGGGGUCUGGCAGGGCUGUCCGUUGCAUGCUGGUCGCAGUUUCCACCCACAUCUUUGGGACAAAUGCAUGUUAAAGAUAGCCUGGGCUGUCUGAGUGCCCAAAACAGAGUUUCCUGAAGAUGAAUCGAUGCCCUUCCAGAUGGGGGUCAGAUCAGCUCAGGUGAGCUGUGGGUCCGAUCGGAGCCCCUCUCCCCACCCUGCUCUCACUCAUGUGGGUCUUUUACCGGGCGCAGUCAAGUAGAGAGGAAUGCUGAGGAAGUGACUGUGCUCCAGGCGAAUAUCUGAGCGUGGGGCUGAGAGACAGACAGAUAGAAGGAUAGAGGGAUGACAAAAGACGAGAGCUGAGAGUGGCCCCGGGGCCGAGUCGACACGCCCACCUGUUGACUGCAGUCCGGGCGCUAAGUGCACUGUGAAUGGACACUUACAAUGGCCGUGGCAAGAUGAUCCGCUCUGUCUGUCUUUAGCAGCUUCUCUCUGAUCGCCUCUUCCUCUCGGUGUUGACACCGAUCAGCAGGUGAUAGAUCGACACAAACCAUGAGAAACAAUCUUGGGAGAUCUUGUGCUCAUUCUUACCAUCUGGCUUAAAUUCUUCUUAAAACCUUCGAGCAGUGUUUUUAACUUCAGUGGGUGUGUAUGUACACGGUUUUCUGCUCCUGGCAUUGUGUUGACCAAGUCUUGAGGUUAAUUGUUUCACACUGAAACAAACUGUCCAAUCAUCAGUCAGACUUUUGGCAGACGUUAUGGUCAAUAUGAAAUAAAAAAGGGGUUUCAAUGAAAUAUCAACUUCUCAGAUGUUUCAGAAGAUGACUGAGAAAAUGUUUCAGGUAAAAAUAGAAACAAAUGGUUGAUUAUAGAGGUAUAAAAUGAAAAUAAAUAGCAAAAUAGAUGAGAAUGAGAAAUGCAUAAAAAUUAACAUCUCUGUCUUUCGACCUUGUAGUAUCUUGGCAAAUCUGAGCACUUUAUUGGUAUAUAUUUUAAAUAAAUUCAGC